GGGACACUCACAAGGUCACAGUGUCAUAGAUCCACUGCUCCAGUCCACUCCCCCCUGGGACACUCACAAGGUCACAGUGUCAUAGAUCCACUGCUCCAGUCCACCCUCCGCUGGGACACUCACAAGGUCACAGUGUCAUAGAUCCACUGCUCCAGUCCACUCCCCCCUGGGACACUCACAAGGUCACAGUGUCAUAGAUCCACUGCUCCAGUCCACCCUCCCCUGGGACACUCACAAGGUCACAGUGUCAUAGAUCCACUGCUCCAGUCCACUCCCCUCUGGGACACUCACAAGGUCACAGUGUCAUAGAUCCACUGCUCCAGUCCACUCCCCUCUGGGACACUCACAAGGUCACAGUGUCAUAGAUCCACUGGCAUAGCACACACACACAAUAUAUAUAUAUUUUUUCAAAUCUUCUAAUUACUUUCAAU